UACGUAGGGUGCAAGCGUUGUCCGGAAUUAUUGGGCGUAAAGGGCUCGUAGGCGGUUUGUCGCGUCGGGAGUGAAAACCUUGGGCUUAACUCAGGGCUUGCUUUCGAUACGGGCAGACUAGAGGUAUGCAGGGGAGAACGGAAUUCCUGGUGUAGCGGCGAAAUGCGCAGAUAUCAGGAGGAACACCGGUGGCGAAGGCGGUUCUCUGGGCAUGAUCUGACGCUGAGGAGCGAAAGUGUGGGGAGCGAACAGG
rnacentral:rRNA from 1 species